UGCUAUACAUGCAAGUCGAACGCUUCUUUUUCCACCGGAGCUUGCUCCACCGGAAAAAGAAGAGUGGCGAACGGGUGAGUAACACGUGGGUAACCUGCCCAUCAGAAGGGGAUAACACUUGGAAACAGGUGCUAAUACCGUAUAACAAUCAAAACCGCAUGGUUUUGAUUUGAAAGGCGCUUUCGGGUGUCGCUGAUGGAUGGACCCGCGGUGCAUUAGCUAGUUGGUGAGGUAACGGCUCACCAAGGCCACGAUGCAUAGCCGACCUGAGAGGGUGAUCGGCCACAUUGGGACUGAGACACGGCCCAAACUCCUACGGGAGGCAGCAGUAGGGAAUCUUCGGCAAUGGACGAAAGUCUGACCGAGCAACGCCGCGUGAGUGAAGAAGGUUUUCGGAUCGUAAAACUCUGUUGUUAGAGAAGAACAAGGAUGAGAGUAACUGUUCAUCCCUUGACGGUAUCUAACCAGAAAGCCACGGCUAACUACGUGCCAGCAGCCGCGGUAAAAAGCUUC
rnacentral:rRNA from 1 species